rnacentral:rRNA from 1 species
AUAGCCAUGCAUGUCUCAGUACAAGCCGAAUUAAGGUGAAACCGCGAAAGGCUCAUUAAAUCAGUUAUGGUUCCUUAGAUCGUACCCACAUUUACUUGGAUAACUGUGGUAAUUCUAGAGCUAAUACAUGCAAACAGAGCUCCGACCGGAGACGGAAGGAGUGCUUUUAUUAGAUCAAAACCAAUCGGUGGCGGGUUCGCGCUCGUCAUCGUACAAUUUGGUGACUCUGAAUAACUUUUCGCUGAUCGCACGGUCUCGCACCGGCGACGCAUCUUUCAAAUGUCUGCCUUAUCAACUGUCGAUGGUAGGUUCUGCGCCUACCAUGGUUGUAACGGGUAACGGGGAAUCAGGGUUCGAUUCCGGAGAGGGAGCCUGAGAAACGGCUACCACAUCCAAGGAAGGCAGCAGGCGCGCAAAUUACCCACUCCCGGCACGGGGAGGUAGUGACGAAAAAUAACGAUACGGGACUCAUCCGAGGCCCCGUAAUCGGAAUGAGUACACUCUAAACCCUUUAACGAGGAUCAAUUGGAGGGCAAGUCUGGUGCCAGCAGCCGCGGUAAUUCCAGCUCCAAUAGCGUAUAUUAAAGUUGUUGCGGUUAAAAAGCUCGUAGUCGAAUCUGUGUCCCGCGUCGCCGGUUCAUCGUCCGCGGUGUUAACUGGCGUUCCGCGGGACGUCCUGCCGGUGGGCUUAGCUCGCAAGGGCGGCCCAACUCAAUCCCGCCGCGGUGCUCUUCAUUGAGUGUCGAGGUGGGCCGGCACGUUUACUUUGAACAAAUUAGAGUGCUUAAAGCAGGCUAAAACUUCGCCUGAAUACUGUGUGCAUGGAAUAAUGGAAUAGGACCUCGGUUCUAUUUUGUUGGUUUUCGGAACCCCGAGGUAAUGAUUAAUAGGAACGGAUGGGGGCAUUCGUAUUGCGACGUUAGAGGUGAAAUUCUUGGAUCGUCGCAAGACGGACAGAAGCGAAAGCAUUUGCCAAAAACGCUUUCAUUGAUCAAGACGAAAGUUAGAGGUU